rnacentral:rRNA from 1 species
CCUACGGGGGGCAGCAGUGAGGAAUAUUGGUCAAUGGACGAGAGUCUGAACCAGCCAAGUAGCGUGAAGGAUGACUGCCCUAUGGGUUGUAAACUUCUUUUAUAUGGGAAUAAAAUGUUCCACGUGUGGGAUUUUGUAUGUACCAUAUGAAUAAGGAUCGGCUAACUCCGUGCCAGCAGCCGCGGUAAUACGGAGGAUCCGAGCGUUAUCCGGAUUUAUUGGGUUUAAAGGGAGCGUAGGUGGAUUGUUAAGUCAGUUGUGAAAGUUCGUGGCUCAACCGUAAAAUUGCAGUUGAAACUGGCAGUCUUGAGUAGAGUAGAGGUGGGCGGAAUGCGUGGUGUAGCGGUGAAAUGCUUAGAGAUCACGAAGAACUCCGAUUGCGAAGGCAGCUCACUGGACUGAAACUGACGCUGAGGCACGAAAGUGUGGGUAUCGAACAGGAUUAGAUACCCCAGUAGUC